rnacentral:lncRNA from 10 species
GAAGGCAUGAGGUCUGGAGCAACAAGCCCACUGGACCUGAAAUAAUAGCAACCACUUACUACUUGCUGGGAAUACUUUUCUCCACUAGAUCAAAAGGAAAUCUCUUGAAAAGAAAGCUGUAGCUGUACAUAAUACAUAUACUGGGUAUCUUCCAUUCUACUUGCCAUACUCUGCACCCUGCUCUGUGCCUUGGGAGGCUAACCUGAAUCAACUGCAUCAACAGGACUUUCACACCUUCUGGGCCCUGGUUGGAUUCAGCCAAUGUGUUAAAACAAACUGGGAUCCAGAGACAUGAAGGGCCUUGCAUACAGUAAGCAUUCACUAAUAUAAAGGCACUUCCUGAUGAUUGUCCAAGUCCCUGGCUAAUUGUUCAUGUCUGCCCUCUGUCAGGACUGCCUGGCACUGCCUGAACUGGUCUCCUCCUUUGACAUCUGCGAGCCCCACUUGGCCCAGGUACCCCUGCCUUGGGACCGUAACCCAUUCACUUAUUGAAUUGCCAGCAUGGUACAUUUCCCACCUUGGCCCUGGUGCAGGCUGGCCCACUCCAUGACCUCCACCACGUGGACAAAAACCCUCAGAAGGUGCAGGAAUGUAGGGGUGGGCUUCAUUAGGCCCCAGGCACCUGUGGGGAGAGGCCACUGGCUACUGCUGGAAGGAACGUAGGGAAUCAUCUACAGUCCAACUCAUGUAAGAACACUUUACAUGAGAUCUACCUUCUUAAAUUGUAAGUGCACACUACAGUAUUGUUAACUAUAUGCCCAAUGUUGUACAGAUCUCUAGAACUUGUUCCUCUUGUAUAAUUGAAACAGUAUACCUAUUGAACAGCAACUCUCAAUUUUCCCUUACCCUGACCCCUGCCAACCACCAUUCAACUCUCUGUUUCUAUGAGUCUAUUUUAGAUACCUCAUAUAAGUAAAGUCAUG